rnacentral:rRNA from 1 species
GAUGAACGCUGGCGGCGUGCCUAAUACAUGCAAGUCGAGCGAACGGACGAGAAGCUUGCUUCUCUGAUGUUAGCGGCGGACGGGUGAGUAACACGUGGAUAACCUACCUAUAAGACUGGGAUAACUUCGGGAAACCGGAGCUAAUACCGGAUAAUAUUUUGAACCGCAUGGUUCAAAAGUGAAAGACGGUCUUGCUGUCACUUAUAGAUGGAUCCGCGCUGCAUUAGCUAGUUGGUAAGGUAACGGCUUACCAAGGCAACGAUGCAUAGCCGACCUGAGAGGGUGAUCGGCCACACUGGAACUGAGACACGGUCCAGACUCCUACGGGAGGCAGCAGUAGGGAAUCUUCCGCAAUGGGCGAAAGCCUGACGGAGCAACGCCGCGUGAGUGAUGAAGGUCUUCGGAUCGUAAAACUCUGUUAUUAGGGAAGAACAUAUGUGUAAGUAACUGUGCACAUCUUGACGGUACCUAAUCAGAAAGCCACGGCUAACUACGUGCCAGCAGCCGCGGUAAUACGUAGGUGGCAAGCGUUAUCCGGAAUUAUUGGGCGUAAAGCGCGCGUAGGCGGUUUUUUAAGUCUGAUGUGAAAGCCCACGGCUCAACCGUGGAGGGUCAUUGGAAACUGGAAAACUUGAGUGCAGAAGAGGAAAGUGGAAUUCCAUGUGUAGCGGUGAAAUGCGCAGAGAUAUGGAGGAACACCAGUGGCGAAGGCGACUUUCUGGUCUGUAACUGACGCUGAUGUGCGAAAGCGUGUGGAUCAAACAGGAUUAGAUACCCUGGUAGUCCACGCCGUAAACGAUGAGUGCUAAGUGUUAGGGGGUUUCCGCCCCUUAGUGCUGCAGCUAACGCAUUAAGCACUCCGCCUGGGGAGUACGACCGCAAGGUUGAAACUCAAAGGAAUUGACGGGGACCCGCACAAGCGGUGGAGCAUGUGGUUUAAUUCGAAGCAACGCGAAGAACCUUACCAAAUCUUGACAUCCUUUGACAACUCUAGAGAUAGAGCUUUCCCCUUCGGGGGACAAAGUGACAGGUGGUGCAUGGUUGUCGUCAGCUCGUGUCGUGAGAUGUUGGGUUAAGUCCCGCAACGAGCGCAACCCUUAAGCUUAGUUGCCAUCAUUAAGUUGGGCACUCUAAGUUGACUGCCGGUGACAAACCGGAGGAAGGUGGGGAUGACGUCAAAUCAUCAUGCCCCUUAUGAUUUGGGCUACACACGUGCUACAAUGGACAAUACAAAGGGCAGCGAAACCGCGAGGUCAAGCAAAUCCCAUAAAGUUGUUCUCAGUUCGGAUUGUAGUCUGCAACUCGACUACAUGAAGCUGGAAUCGCUAGUAAUCGUAGAUCAGCAUGCUACGGUGAAUACGUUCCCGGGUCU